GAUGAACGCUGGCGGCGUGCCUAAUACAUGCAAGUCGAGCGAACGGACGAGAAGCUUGCUUCUCUGAUGUUAGCGGCGGACGGGUGAGUAACACGUGGAUAACCUACCUAUAAGACUGGGAUAACUUCGGGAAACCGUAGCUAAUACCGGAUAAUAUUUUGAACCGCAUGGUUCAAAAGUGAAAGACGGUCUUGCUGUCACUUAUAGAUGGAUCCGCGCUGCAUUAGCUAGUUGGUAAGGUAACGGCUUACCAAGGCAACGAUGCAUAGCCGACCUGAGAGGGUGAUCGGCCACACUGGAACUGAGACACGGUCCAGACUCCUACGGGAGGCAGCAGUAGGGAAUCUUCCGCAAUGGGCGAAAGCCUGACGGAGCAACGCCGCGUGAGUGAUGAAGGUCUUCGGAUCGUAAAACUCUGUUAUUAGGGAAGAACAUAUGUGUAAGUAACUGUGCACAUCUUGAUGGUACCUAAUCAGAAAGCCACGGCUAACUACG
rnacentral:rRNA from 1 species